rnacentral:rRNA from 1 species
GUCCCAGUUCGGAUUGCAGUCUGCAACUCGAGUGCAUGAAGCUGGAAUCGCUAGUAAUCGCGGAUCAGAAUGCCGCGGUGAAUACGUUCCCGGGUCUUGUACACACCGCCCGUCACACCAUGGGAGUCGGGAAUGCCCGAAGCCGGUGGCCCAAUCGUAAAGAAGGGAGCCGUCGAAGGCAGGCCGGAUGACUGGGGUGAAGUCGUAACAAGGUAGC